UAAAACGUAAUCUUCAACUCAUUAUCAUUCACAUUCACAUUCAAAUAUCCACCAAAACGUAUUAUAAGCUAACCAAUUACAAAUAUAAGCUAAUUAAUGUUCCAUAAAUAAUAAACAAUAUAAUUUACAAUACUUAUACAGGCGCAAUAAGAUACUACAAUAUAUACAAAUGUUCUAUAAUAACAUGAAUACAAAUGAACUAUAAACUAGUAAAAGUAUCAUCAUCGGGCGGAGGUGAACGACGAUGCUCUGGUGUAUGGAAAUCAACGUCGUGCGACUGCUCGUCAUCGCCAGUCUGCUCGCCAUCGCCACCCUGUUGAUAGAAUUAAAAAUAUAAAUCAUUAGUCCGUAUAUAUAUAUAUAUAUAUAUAUAUAUAUAUAUAUAUAUAUAUAUGCGUGUGUGUGUGAGAGAGAAUUAACAAGCUAGCCUUAAUUGAAAAAAACAUAAACAAUAAGAAUACCUUAGUAGGUGGAGGCGGACGAAAAGCCUCCUCAAAGAGAGUAAUCAUCAUCCGAAGCAUCUCGGCGCUCCAAGCGUCGAACUGCUCCCGUGAUAAUCAUGUACUCUCUGCAGAGGCCCCUGCUAUAAUAUCUUGAGCAAUCUGGUGAAGACGAGAACUGGAAGGCAACUGCUGACGCCGAAAGACCAGAUCGGUACGGAACCUAUCCGAUACAGCCCCUAUCAGCCGUCGGAAGAUAUCGUCAUCCAAGCCAACGCCCGUAUGAGAUGGUCCGACAUGUGCUCUCGGACGCUGGCGCUGGCUGGAGCUUAUAAAGAGAUACAAAUUCGAUUACUAAUAAUAAUUUAUAUAAUGUGAUAAAUUCAGAUGUGCAAACUAAAGGAAAAGAUUAACCGACGGUGGUGCCUGCUGGUAGAUAGAGAUAGAGAAUUUGGGGACACAAUAGAGAUAGAGAAUUUGGGGUCAGAAGAUGUGCUCUACUCACAAUCAUGUUUAUGGCAAAGAAAGAAAGAGAGAAGAGGAGACUGGUGGUAGAGACAAAUUAAGAUCUAGGCUUUUGUUGCAGUAAGUUAGUUUUAUUCAGGAUAGUCGGGGACUGAAAAUAUGUUUAAGAUAUGAUGGGAAACACUUGGCAUCAUAUAUCAUGGGCACAUAACAGGGACAAAGUAUAGGCUUCUACCACGAUACAUACGUGUAGCAAUUGGUAUAUGGUUUAGAAUUU
rnacentral:lncRNA from 1 species